AAAAGGUGCAGUAUCUUUAUUUCCAGAAUAAAUAGCAGAAAAAUUCAACAAAUUCCCAUAGAAAUAGGGAUAAAGACCAACGUUCACAAGUUGGUUUUAACUACUCAACAACUAUGCGAGACUUAUUCAAGGAACUAAACAUGAAAAUGGAAAAUUAUUAACAUCAGAACAUAAAACUCCUAUCAGCUCCCUCCCUCUUAAAUUUCAGCCUAGUCCUCAAGGCUAAUAUCUGGGAAUUGAUUUUUAAGGAUUUCACGAUCUUCCCAAGUUGCUUCAGCUGGUGAUGAACCUUGCCAAUGCACCAAAACUUGCUGCCUCUUACCCCUCAUUCGUCUAUCCAGAAUUGCUGGUGGCAGAGAAAUUAAUUUCUCUUCAACUUGAUCCAUGACAGGAAGCUGUGUUAUGACUGAUUGAUCACCAACCUACUUCUUUAAUAAUGAAACAUGGAACACGAGAUGUAAUUUUGAGGACUCGGGCAAUUCCAACCUGUAAGCUACCUUACCAAUCCUUUGUAAUACCUUGAAAAGACCAUAGAACUUGGCAGAGAGUUUCAAAUUCUACCUCCUAGCUAACGAUAGUUGUUUAUAAGGCUGAAGUUUAAGAAAUACCCAAUCACCUUAUGAGAAUUCUCUUUCCUGGUGCCUUGAAUCAAAUAUUCGUUUCAUUCUGGCUUGUGCUUAUUUGAUGUUGUCCCGGGCAACCUGGAUAACUUGGUCACGAUUCUUGAGCUCAUCUUCCACUGUUGCUACUCUAGCUGUACCAGGAACAUAUGUCAAAAGAGAAGGAGGAGCCCUUCUAUAUACCACUUCAAAGGGAGUGCUUUUGACUGAUGAGUGCCAACUUGUGUUGUAGCAAAACUCUACCCAUGUCAACCAUUUAGUCCAUUGCUUAGGUUGCGAAUUUGUGAAAAGCAAUGAGGACAUGGUGGUUGAUGGUCAUUAAAUUUACAAGCUAACACCGACGAAAGGAACUUUACUUAAACUCGUACCUAAGGAAAAGAAAGGAGAAGUCCAGCAAGAACUCCAUCCACAAGUGAAGUCGAUUCUACAAAAAUUUAGUAAAGUACUUGCUGAACAACUAACAGGGUUACCUCCUGAGCGAGCAUGUGACCACAAAAUAUCAAUACAGCAUGGGUGCGGCCCAGUUUUAGGGAAGCCAUAUCAUUAUCCUUACUUUCAGAAAGCUGAAAUUGAGAGAAUGGUUAAGGAAAUGCUUUCCAUGGGUAUAAUCCAACACAGUAAUAGCCCCUAUUCUUUCCCAGUCAUAUUGGUAAAGAAACAGGACGGCUCAUGGAGGAUGUGUGUAGAUUAUUGGGCUUUGAAUCAGCUUACCAUUAAAGAUAAGUAUCCAAUUCCCAUAAUUGAUAAGCUCUUAGAUGAACUAAAUGGUGCACAAGUAUUUUCCAAGCUCGACCUGCGAUCUGGGUAUCACCAAGUUCGAAUGAGUCCGAAAGAUGUGGAAAAAACAGCAUUCAGAACUCAUCAAGGACACUACGAAUUCCUGGUAAUGCCCUUCGGUUUGACUAAUGCACCAUCAACUUUUCAAGCUCUUAUGAAUGAAGUCUUCUGUGAUUAUUUGAGAAAAUUUGUUUUAGUAUUUUUUGAUGAUAACCUUGCCAAUGCACCAAAACUUGCUGCCUCUUACCCCUCAUUCGUCUCUCCAGAAUUGCUUGUGGCAGAGGAAUUAAUUUGUCUUCAACUUGAUCCAUGACAGGAAGCUGUGUUAUGACUGAUUGAUCAACAACCUUCUUUUUUAAUAACGAAACAUGGAACACGGGAUGUAAUUUUGAGGACUUGGGCAAUUCUAACCUGUAAGCUACCUUACCAAUCCUUUGUAAUACCUUGAAAGGACAGUAGAACUUGGCAGAGAGUCUCAGAUUCUACCUCCUGGCUAACGAUAGUUGUUUAUAAGGCUGAAGUUUAAGAAAUACCCAAUCACCUUCUGAGAAUUCCCUUUCUUGGUGCCUUAAAUCAUAUAUUCGUUUCAUUAUAGCCUGUGCUUGUUUAAUGUUGUCCUGGGCAACCUGGAUAACUUGGUCAUGAUUCUUGAGCUCCUCUUCCACUGUUGCUACUCUAGCUGUACCAGGAACAUAUGUCAAAAGAGAAGGAGGAACCCUUCCAUAUACCACUUCAAAGGAAGUGCUUUUGACUAAUGAGUGCCAAUUUGUGUUGUAGCAAAACUCUGCCCAUGUCAACCAUUUAGUCCACUGCUUAGGUUGCGAAUUCAUGAAAAGCGCUGAGGACAUGGUGGUUGAUGGUAAUUAAAUUUACAAGCUAACACCGACGAAAGGAAUUUUACUUGAACUCGUAUCUAAGGAAAAGAAAGGUGAAGUCCAGCAAGAACUCCAUCCACUAGUGAAGUCAAUUCUACAAAAAUUUAGUAAAGUGCUUGCUGAACAACCAACAGGGUUACCUCCCGAGCGAGCAUGUGACCACAAAAUACCAAUACAGCAUGGGUGCGACCCAGUUUCAGGGAAGCCAUAUCAUUAUCCUUACUUUCAGAAAGCUGAAAUUGAGAGAAUGGUUAAGGAAAUGCUUUCCAUGGGUAUAAUCCGAUACAUAAACAGCCCCUAUUCUUCCCCAGUCAUAUUGGUAAAGAAACAGGACGGCUCAUGGAGGAUGUGUGUUGAUUAUCGGGCUUUGAAUCAGCUUACCAUUAAGGAUAAGUAUCCAAUUCCUAUAAUUGAUAAGCUCUUAGAUGAACUAAAUGGUGCACAGGUAUUUUCCAAGUUCGACCUGUGAUCUGGGUAUCACCAAGUUCGAAUGAGUUCAAAAGAUGUGGAAAAAACAGCAUUCAGAACUCAUCAAGGACACUACGAAUUCCAGGUAAUGCCCUUCGGUUUGACUAAUGCACCAUCAAAUUUUCAAGCUCUUAUGAAUGAAGUCUUCCGUGAUUAUUUGAGAAAAUUUGUUUUAGUAUUUUUUGAUGAUAACCUUGCCAAUGCACCAAAACUUGCUGCCUCUUACCCUUCAUUCGUCUCUCCAGAAUUGCUUGUGGCAGAGGAAUUAAUUUAUCUUCAACUUGAUCCAUGACAGGAAGCUGUGUUAUGAUUGAUUGAUCACCAACCUUCUUCUUUAAUAAUGAAACAUGGAACACGGGAUGUAAUUUUGAGGACUCGGGCAAUUCCAACCUGUAAGCUACCUUACCAAUCCUUUGUAAUACCUUGAAAGGACAAUAGAACUUGGCAGAGAGUUUCAGAUUCUGCCUCCUGGCUAACGAUAUUUGUUUAUAAGGCUGAAGUUUAAGAAAUACCUAAUCACCUUCUUAGAAUUCCCUUUCCUGGUGCCUUGAAUCAUAUAUUCAUUUCAUUCUGGCCUGUGCUUGUUUGAUGUUGCCCCGUGUAACCUGGAUAACUUGGUCACGAUUCUCAAGCUCUUCUUCCACUGCUGCUACUCUAGCUGUACCAGGAACAUAAGUCAAAAGAGAAGAAGGAGCCCUUCCAUAUACCACUUCAAAGGGAGUGCUUUUGACUGAUAAGUGCCAACUUGUGUUGUAGCAAAAUUCUGCCCAUGUCAACCAUUUAGUCCACCGCUUAGG
rnacentral:lncRNA from 1 species